GAGGGCCCUGCCUUGCUGGCCAUCACGUCGCUGAAUGGAGAUCAGGAGCUGGGCAGGAUUGGAGCCAGGUCAAGGGGAACAGAGGGGAAGGGGACGGUGGAUGAGGAUGGCAUUGAAAUAUCCCCACUCAAAAUUAAUCUGACUGUGAUCAACUCUACUUCCAACCACACUGCCACUCAGGAGAAUGUCUCAGGGUUACCAGAGGCAGUGGUGGAGACUGUUCUCCUCACUCGGGACGACUCUGUCAAGAAGAGCUCAGGAGACAAGAAGAGGAACAGGGAGCGUGGGAAGGCAAGUGAGCGGGUACAGGGGGAGGAAGAGGAAUUUUACCAUGGUGAAGAUUACAGUUAUGAAUACGAGGUAGGAAAUGGUUUCAAAAAGAGCUGACACUCACUGCAUUUCCAGAAAUUAAAAUAUCUAAGUGAUGCCUGGUCAUGUGG
rnacentral:lncRNA from 1 species